rnacentral:guide_RNA from 1 species
AAAUAACAACAAUCACAGAUGAAGAUAGAUAUAAGUGAGAAAU